CGCGUAGGAAUCUACCUGGUAGUGGGGGACAACAUGUGGAAACGCAUGCUAAUACCGCAUACGACCUAAGGGUGAAAGUGGGGGACCUUCGGGCCUCACGCUAUCGGAUGAGCCUGCGUAAGAUUAGCUAGUUGGUGAGGUAAAGGCUCACCAAGGCGACGAUCUUUAGCUGGUCUGAGAGGAUGAUCGGCCACACUGGGACUGAGACACGGCCCAGACUCCUACGGGAGGCAGCAGUGGGGAAUAUUGGACAAUGGGCGAAAGCCUGAUCCAGCAACGCCGCGUGAGGGAUGACGGCCU
rnacentral:rRNA from 1 species